GCUCAGUGGUUGAGAGUAUGUGCUGCUCUUCCCGAGGACCUCAGCUCCUGUCUCAGAACUCAGACUCACAAUCACCUGUAAGUCCAGUCCCAGCGCAUCUGAUGCCUCUCGCCUCCUUGGGCCCCUGUACUCAUGUGAACCCACCUUGCAGUACAUAUAACUAAAAAUAAAAGAAUCUUAAAAAAUAAAAAUGAUGUAAGGUUACUUAAAGAGGCCUUGUGAAGCACAUGACCCAUAACGUAAAUAUCUUGGAUGAAUAUUUGAAAACAGGGGAGAUAUGCUCCUGUUAUACCACUCAGGAAAUAAGACACAAAAUACUUUUAUUUUGGAAACAUUUAUUUUAUUUAUGUGUGUCCGAGUGAGCACUUUCGAUUGGUGAGACAGCUCUCUAGCUUCCAAAAUAUGUUGUCUCGUCUGAUCCUAAGCAUCGUGAGCAACCGUGAGUGCUGUACGCAUCUCCCGUCAUUUCUAUUUGUGCCUUUCCACCAGUUACCUCCUCUCAGGCACCUCGCUUCCUCUUGGGUGUCUUCUACGCCUCAAAGAAUCCCCUCCACUUCAUGUCUUAGAACAAUCUAGAUUGCACAGACGAGAGAAAGCAUGAUAUUUGUCUUUUCGAGCUUGGCUUAUUUUGCUUAAAAUGACAAUUCCUACUUCCAUCUAUUAUCCUGCCAUACUCCCGUGACAUGAAAUCCCUUCCCUUUUUUAUGGCUAAAUAAUAUACCACUGUGCUUGUGUGUGCACGCACACACUCCCACAUGCACACACGCACACUCACACCUCAUCCCGUUUUUCUUUGACACGUUGUGGGUGUCUAGGCCGGUCCCUUCACUUUGCUGUUGUGAGUAAUGCAGCCAUAAGCACGAACGUGCAGGUGUCUGUGCUGCGCUGACUUGGGCUCCUUUGGGUGUACACCUAGAGUGGCAUAGCUGGUUUGUAUGCAAGUUGUAUUUUUAGCUUUCUUGAGGAACCUCCACACUGAUUUCCACAGUGGCUAUACCAGUUUGCAUUCCCAUCAGUGUUAAGUAAGUCUCCCUCCCCGUCCCUGCUGGCAUUUAUUGCCACUUGUUUUCUUGAUGAUAGUCAUUCCGACAUGCAGAUGAGAAUGGAAUCUCACUGCAGUUUUGAUUUGCAUUCUCCUUAUGGGUGAGGAUGCUGAACACAGCAUCCUCCGUGAGUUACUGGGCCUGAGUUUCUUAGUCAAGGCAGCCCACCUUGUAAAUGCCCGCACGCCAAAGGUGUUUCCACAUCACCCAGAGCAAGAACUGACAGGUGGUUGGCAGGCAGCUUCUCAGUGGCACUGGUGGUGAAGAGUGGGCUGGCACUAACGGGCACUGAGCAAUGUGCCAACAGCUUAACAGUGGCCGAAGAGAAACAGAAACUAGCAAGAUCUGUAGCUGCUGCAGGGAGACACCCAGGGUGCACUCAGAAAUCUGUCUAAACUGUGAGAUACUCUUCUCACUCUGAGGACUCUUGGAAACACACACACAGGAGGGAUACCUGGUGCUAGCCACCCAGCGAAUGACAGAAAAUCUAGGAAGAUGGAGCCCUGGGGGCUAAUUACAUUAUAGAGACUCCAUAUGAAUAUGAACAGUGGCUAACCUCUGGGCUAGCAUAGUUUGGAGUCUUCUCUUUAUUCUGAUCAAUAAGUCACUGGCUUCAUGGUACCCAUUGGAGACCCUUUCAAGUUCUUUCUGGCUUUGGGGAUACUCAAAGAAAGAGAAAACAUCAGAAAGACAGGGUUUGUGUCCUCAUGAGUCUCCCAGGUGAGAGGACAGGGACGGAAGAAAGCCAUGGGAGCAGGUAGGUUAAGCCUGGGAGCAUUCACAGCCAGACAUGAUGGUGAAUGUGAGUGUGUUUGUAAGAAGACUCCUUCCCCACUUGCCUCCCUCCCUCCCUCCCUUCCUCCCUCCCUCCCUCUCUCUUCUUAUUUUUCUUCCCUUUUCUCUCUGUUCUUUCUUCUUUCCUUCUCUUUGUUUCUUUGUAUGUGUGUGUGUGCGCAAGCAUAUGUGUGUGUGUGUGUGUGUGUGUGUGUGUGUGUGUGUGUGUGUGCGUGUGUUAUAGGUGUGGGGGUUUGUGUGGAGGUCCAAGGACAACCUUGGGUGUCAUUACUCACCUUCUGCUUUUGAGAGGGUUUCUCUUUAGACUGGAACUUCACCAAAUAGGCUAGGCCUAGCUAUAUACUGAGCUCCAGUAAUCCCCCAGGCUCUGCCUCUGUCUCGCCGCUGCUGGGAUUAUAAGUGUCCACUAUUGUGCCUGGCUGUUUUUUUCUGAUUUUUCAAGACAGGGUUUCUCUGUGUAGUCCUGGCUGUCCUGGAUCGCACUCUAUAGACCAGGCUGGCCUCGAACUCUGAGAUCCACCUGCCUCACCUCCUGAGUAUUGUUUUAGCAUGAGUCUGAAUAUCCAAGUCAGGUUCUCACACUUAAAAGGCAAGUUGUUUUAUCAACUGAGCCAACUCCUAAUCCUAAAAAGAUUUUCCUAUCAAAAUAGACAGAAUCCCAACAAAUUGGCUUAAAAACAUGAUUUGGGGUUGAAGAUGUGACUUGGAGGUAGCCUGAUGGAGGAUUGUAGCAUCCACAGGUCCAAACCUCCACAGGUCCGAGCCUUUCCCAUAUUGGUUAGCCUAGUACUCAUUAGUCUGCUCUUAGUUGUGGCCUGGGCCUUAGAGUGUACUGGGCAGCCUUAACUGGGGUUGGGGUGGAGGUGGGAAGACGGCAGUCCCUGAUCUCCUACUGUCCACUUUUAGAAUUUUUUGGCCAUUUUUAGAAUCUCUUAUCAUCUCAAUUUAUUUUGGAAAAAAAAAGUCAGCUCUAUUACACUGUGCUGGAAACCUUUACUUGAUGUUUUUAAAUAAAGGGAACAGGAAGUGCAGUCAACCUGCUCUAGUGUCCCUCACCUUUAAUCCCAGAACUCAAGAGCCAGAAACAUGUGGACAUGUGUGACUUUAAGGAUAGCCUAGUCUAAAUACUGAGUUUCAACCCAGCUGGAGUUAUAUAGUGAGACCCUGGAGAGAUGUAAGAAAGAGUGGGUUGGGGUGGAAGGGAAGAGAGAGAGAGAGAGAGAGAGAGAGAGAGAGAGAGAGAGAGAGAGAGAGAGAGAGAGGAGUUAGCUUCUUGUGCUUAGUGUUCUCUUGACUCUGACCCCGAGAAGGAUUAACCCCAUCUUAUUUAGUACCAUGGAUGGGUGUUUGAGUGAAAUCUCAUCUUCUGUCCCAUUGAAGGAAUUCAGCAGAUCUUCAAGAUUGAUCUGCUUCUCAAAACCUUUGAAGGUAUGCAACAGAAAAUAGUGUCAGUACGAGAAUAUGUGAUCCCCAAACUCAGCCUUAUAGAAAGAAAAAAAUAAACAGAGCUUGAUGGCUCAGCAGGUAAAGGCACUUGCUACCAAGCCAGAUAGCCUGAGUUCAGUCAUUCCUUGGGACCCACCUGGUGGAAGGAGAGAACUGACUUCUGCAAAUUUUCCUUGGACCUCCACAAGUGUGCCAUGGCACCACCCUGCCCCUCCACAGACACACACACAGACACAAAUACCACACAUGCAUGUACUACACACAUAUACACACACACACCACUACACACCACACACAUACACACCGAACAUACACCACACACACACACACCCACACACACACCCACACACACAUACACACCACACAUACAUACCACAUACACACACAGACACACUUCUUCCCACAGGUACACACACACACACACCACACAGACAUACACACACACACAUACAUCCACCACAUAUAUACCACACACACAUAUGUACCACAUAAAUACCACACAUACACACCUCUCACACACACACAUAUAUACCACAUACACACACACCACACACACACACACACCACACAUACACACCACACAUACAUACCACAUACACACACACACACACACACCACACAUACACACCACACAUACAUACCACAUACACACACACACCACACAUACAUACCACACAUACAUACCACAUACACACACACACACAUGCAAACACACACACACACCACACAUACAUACCACAUACACACACAUACACACACACCACACAUACACACCACACAUACAUACCACACAUACAUACCACAUACACACACACAUACACACACACACACCACACAUACACACCACACAUACACACCACACAUACACACCACACACACACACCACACACACACCACACACAUACACACACACACACAUACACACACACACCACACAUACACACCACACAUACAUACCACAUACACACACACACACCACACACACACACACACACACACACACACACACACACACACACACACACACACACACUUCCCCCCACAGGUACACCCUGGACAGAGCAUCUUGAGUUAACACAGCUUCUCCCACAUACCUGCUGUGUGAUAUUGGCUGGAUUGUCAUGUUGCAUUCCUAUAUACCUUCGAGCUUCAUAAUGUUUCCCCACUGUAUGAAAGAGGAAACUUGUCUGGAUCAGCAUUCAGCUUCUCUAGUGAGGGUACUCGGGUGUCCUGAGGGGACCCUUCAGCUCAGUGGUGCUAACACAGGUGUUAAGUGCAUUCUGUGGAUUGAAAGAGCUGCAGCGUGUCCUGUGUUCACAAACAGGCUCUGAAAAAGUUCAUCGGGCCCAGGGUGCUUUCAGAACAAGAAUAGGGGACUUCACCCCCCACCCCUGUUCAGAAGCCAGACAAAAACCGUGCUCUCCGAUGGCAGCAUCUGCCUUCCUCCACUCUCUGUUUUGAACCUUGGCCUUUGUUUCCCCCUACCCCUUUCCUCACGGUCCCAUUUUUAGUAGUGUACUUUGUGAGUUUUUUCAAAAACUUUGAAUGUAUGAUUGUUAUAACUUCUUUGCAUUGAUUUUCAUCCUUUUCUUUCAAAUCGCAUCUAUUUUUGUCUUUUUAUCUCAGCCUUGUUUUAUGGAAAUUUCAACAAAAGAAUUAUUUCAUCUUAAGUGUCUAGUCUCUUAAUUCUCUCUCCUCCUCAUAUUUUUAGCAUUUUUAUUAUCCACAUUAAACUUUUAAUAGACUUAUGUAAAUGCAGAUGUGCACAAGAUGAAGAAAACUCCUCCUCUCAGCCUGCUCCUUAAAGGUAACCACUGCAAACACCUGGGCGACCACUCUGAUUUUAUUCCCCCAUAAACAGAUACAUCACCUAAGCACAUUCACUUUUAUAGAACGAGCUCAUGCAGUUCGCCCAUUCUUGUUCUCCUUAUAAACCUCAUUUGUUCCCUUUGCUUUUCCCCCCUCUAAGGAUGUGGACUAAAGCUGAUCUUUGGGCAGGCAAGAAUUGACUUCCACAAGUUGUCCUCUGACCUUUACACAUGCAUGAACACACACACACACACACACACACACACACACAAAUACAAUAAAAAAUCAUCACUUCAACUUAUGAUGGGGAUGGAACCCAGGGCAUCAGACACGCUAGCUAAGGGCUUGACCACUGACUCUCUCCUAGCUCUGGUUUCAGUAUUGACUCCAAGUCUUAUACUUUGAUUAUUUGUGUAGUGGGGAGAUAGGCUGCCUGCUUGAUUGACAUGCUUUCUGAGUGUUUUCUCUUUAUUUCCUCCCUGCAUGGUGAUCUGAUCUCAUUUGGGCCAUCGGAAUGAAGCACCUGUCCUAAGAAUGAACAUUUCAGGAGAGCUGUUGGGGCUCUAGGCAGGCUGUGCUGGCAGUGGAGACACUAUGGACCGUUCAGAAUGUGGACCUGGCUGGGGGAAGUAAGUCACUAGCUGUGGGUCUUUACAUGUUAUACCUUCCCUGGUUCCUGCCUUGCUCUCUGCUAUCUGUCCUUUGUGAUGUGAACCAUUUUCCCCAUGAGUUCUUGCUGCCAUGAUCUGAGCUGCCCUGCCAUGCAUCUCUACCCUGCCUCCAAGUGAUUCUGAUGCCGCUCCCGUCCACAGUAUAAAGCCCUGAUCUACUGUAAUUUUCCUUAAACAAAUACUCACAAAUGACUUAGGCCAUAGAGUAAGUCAGUAGCAGAGAUGGACUCAAGGAUGUGCUUUUCUUAUUAUAGAAGUCUGUGUCCUUCAGGAUUGGACCAAUCCCAUAGACACUAGUGGAGUCUAGAGGAAUGCAAAGCUCUAACUGGUCGGGUAGGACAGUUAAGCAUGAUGGUCAGCCUGAUAGUGUUAUGAGACACCUUGGAGAACAGUAAAUACAGUUCUGCUGAAUUCUCUGGGGUUCCCAGAGAGGCUUGAAACAUAGGAGAGCAUCUCAGUAUGGAGGAUCUGGUACAAAUGUGGGCGUCAUCUCUAGUAACAGUUCUCAAUCUGUGGACUGUGACCCCUUUGGGGGGGGGUGUCGAAAACAGUAAAACUCAUAACAGUAGCAAAGUUGUAGUUAUGAAGCAGCAGCACAAAUAAUUUCCCGGCUGGGGAGGGGGUCACUACAACACGAGGAACUGUAUACAAGGAUUGUAGCAUUAGGAAGGUUGAGAAGCACUGCUCUAGAUUACAGUCCAGAUGUCACUUUCUUAGAGACCUGUUCUAGAAUGGCAUUUUCCACCAUUACUAUCUCUUUCUAUUCUCCAUACUGCUGCUCAGAAUCCAAAUUAUCAUGACCAUAGGGUGAAAUAUCACUUAUCUUAUCUCUGUAGCCUCAAGUAACAGAGGAAGCCAGCACAGGUGAGUUCCACUCUCCCUCAGAGUAUCCAGUGAUGUCGCUGCAUUUGGACAUCAGACCCUAGCUUUUUUUGGACUUUCUUCAUACCAGUGACUCUUCAGAGAGCUUCCAGGCCUUCAGGUUCCAACUGGGGCUGUAUCAUCCGUUCCCUUAUCCCGAGACAUCCAGCUUCUUAGAUCAAAUAGCUACUUGUUUCUUUGCAGGCUGUAGAUGGAGAGUGCUAUUGUCCAAUUAUUAGCCUAGAACCACAUGGGGCAAGCCAGUAAAUCUUCACAUACAUGCUAUUGCUCUAUUUCUUUAGAGCAUAGCUAUUAAACUAAACACAAACCAUUACGGGGUAACUGCACAUGGGGGUCAUGAAAACUUUAUCAACGGUAAAAGGUUUCUGUUUUUCUCAAUGACCAAAAAUUAAUCAAUUCGAAUCCAUCAAAUUUGCAACUCGUCCUGGCGUUCCUGGGAGUUGCAUCACGACCUCAGUGCCUAUUCUGAAUACAGAAGCACUUUGUAGUUCGAAUGCCAUCAGUCUCACUAGGCUGAUGAAUGCUGCCCGGACCACCUCAGCUCAGAUUUGAGACAUUUUUAUUUAUGAGCUGUGGUGUUUUUACUGUACAAGCAAAGCUUUCAGCUCUUAUAGGAACUUAAUGAUCUAAUUAUGGAAAACAGGCUUUUAAUACUUUCCCACUGUCGGUAUGUGAGUAUCAAAUCCAUAUAUCUCUGGAGUAUAUUGUGUUAGAAUGUUUGAUUUUAGAAAUUAAUGUUUGAAUUGUUAAUUUACAUCUCAUAAAAAAAUUCAAUGAAUUUUGGCUUGUGGUUAGGACAGAAUUUCUUACUUACUUUGUUUUUGUUGUUAUUAGUUUUGUUUUGCCUUUUAAAAAAAUAGAUAUUUUAUUUAUUUAAAUUUCAAAUGUUAUCCCCUUUCCUGGUUUACCCUCUACAAACCCCCUAUCCCAUUCCUCCUUACCCUGCUUCUAUCAGGGUGCUUCCCCACCCACCCACUCUCACCUCAAUACCCUAACAUUCCUCUACACUGGGGCAUCAAGCCUUCCCAGGACCCAGGGCCUCCCCUCCCAUUGAUGCCAGAUAAGGCCCUUUCAGCUCCUUAAGCCCUUCCCCCAACUCCUCCAUUAAGGUCUCUGUGAUCAGUCUAAUGGUUGGCUUUGAGUGUCCGCAUCUGUAUUGGUCAGGACCUGGCAGAGCCUCUCAGGAGACAGCUGAUCAGCCUCCUGUCAGCAAACACUUCUUGGCAUCAGCAAUAGUGUCUGGGUUUGGUGACUGCAUGUGGGAUGGAUCCCCGGGUGGGGCAGUCUCUGGAUGACUUUUCCUUCAGUCUCUGCUCCAUACACUGUCGCUGUAUUUCCUUUAGACAGGAGCCAUUCUGGGUUGAAAUUUUGGAGAUGGGUGGGUGGCCUCAUUCCUCAACCUGGAGGGCCAUGCCUAACCUCUGGAUAUGGUCUCGACGGGUUCUUCCUUUGUGGGGUAUUUCAGCUAAUAUCAUCCCUGAGGGGUCCUGGCAGGCUCUUGGUUUCUUGGUAUCUGGGACUUUCUGGUUGCUACCCCCAGUUCCCUAUCCUCCAUUGCUACAUACCUCUGUUCAAUCCCUCUGUACAUCUCCACCAUCUCCUCCCACACCUGAUUCUGCCCCUCUUUUCCCCCUCCCCGUCCUCUCUUCCUCCCAAGUCCCUCCCACUCUCUACUUUCCUUGUUUAUUUUGUUCCCCCUUCUAAGUAGAACUGAAGCAUCCACUCUUUGGUCUUCCUUCCUCUUGAGUGGUCUGUAAGUUGUAUCAAGAGUAUUCCAAGCUCUAUGCCUAAUAUCUGCUGAUUAGCAAGUACAUACCAUGUGUGUUCUUUUGUGAGUGAGUUACUCACUCAGGAUGAUAUUUUCUAGAUCCAUCCAUUUGCCUGUGAAUUUCAUGAAGUCAUUGCUUUAAAUAACUGUGUAGUAUUGUUUUGUUUUUUUGAGACAGGGUAGCCUUGGCUGUCCUAGAACUUACUUUGUAGGACAGGUUGGCCUUGAACUCAGGAAUCUGCCUGCUUGUGCCUCCAAAGUGCUGAGAUUAAAGGUGUGCACAGCUACUGCCUGGCCCAAAAGUGUAACUUUUAAUAUAAAAAGCAAUGUUUCCUUUAAUAAAUGGUAAACUUAUUAUAUGCCUAUCAAAUAAUUUUUUGAGACAGGGUCUUAUAUAGUUCAGGCUGGUCUCAAAGUAGUUGGGCAUCUGAGGAUGACCUUGAAUUCUUUUACUUGUUUGUGUUGUACGUGUGUUGUAUACGUAUGCUAUGUGUGGGUGCAUGCCCAUUUGUUCAUAGGAUGAUUCCAGGUCGUCUGUUUUAUGAUAAGUCUGAGACAGGGUCUUUCACUGAACCCGGAGCUAGGAGUCAGUCAGUAAGAUCUCCCUGUAUCUACCUCCCUCCCCAGUGCUAGUUACAGGCAGCUGCGUCAUUCCUGGCUUUUUGCAUGGGUUCUGGGGAUUCGAUCUCAGGACUUCAUGCUUGCUCAGCAAGUGCUCUGACCCAUGAAGGCAUUUCUUAUAUAUAUAUAUAUUUUUUUUCUUCUUUUUUUCAGAGCUGGGGACCGAACCCAGGGCCUUGCGCUUGCUAGGCAAGCGCUCUACCACUGAGCUAAAUCCCCAACCCCAUUUCUUAUAUUUUUAAUUGUGAGCUUAACUUUGGUGGCUGGAGCCAUCUUUCCAGCCCUAGGAAGGCAUUUCUUUAGCCCAUGACCAUGAACUCUUAAAUUUUAAAAAUUCUAUUUAACUAUUUAUUUGCGUGUGCAGGUGUGGACAUGCUAUGGUGGAGGUCAUAGGACAACUUGUGCUCUGUGUUUCCACAGUGCGGGUCCAAGGUUAUUAUGCUCUACAACAAGCACCCUUACCUGCCAAGUCCUGAACCUUCCUGGGUUCUGAGGGUGGAGGUGAAUCAGCACAUGCCCUUAAAGUUCCCCCCAUUAAGUUUGAACUGUGGUUUACAAGAUGAGUUGGCUUUUCCCAUGGUGUACCAAUUCUUCAGCACUAGUGGAUUCUCCCACAGUUUAAUUCAAAAUUGAUAGCGUGUAUGAGGAGUUAAGAGCUUAGUCUGUCUUGUCUCAUUCCCGCGAGACUUGCAGAUGCUGCAGUGUAUUCAGCUCCACGAGCCACAGGGCUUAAGGUUGUUGUUGUCUUAAUGAAAGUUUCAUUAUGUAGGCACGAUCAAUUAAGUCAUAAGCCAUUGGUGACUAACUCGAUUUUCAGCCUUUCCCCUUUCUGGAGGGCCUGAAAAUUCUGGCAAACCGUUCUCCAUCCCGAAGCUGUCUAGGCCCUCUAAAAGACUCCUCAUUAAUUAGUAUAAAUUUAGAGUGUUUAGAAGGGGCUUAUGAAUAAUAAAUGGAAAUUCAACGCAGGGAAUUUUAAGGGUUCAGGAGCUCCAGUGAUGGAAACUGGAAGUGAAGAGUAAGUUUGUAUUAUGUCACAGUCUCUUCACCCGAAAACAAACAGAAGGGCAAGUGGUUGCAUGGAGCCUCAAACUAUGUGUUCUCUCAGGAGCCAGAUGCUGGGGUGAGAGCCUGCUACCUCAGAUGCAGAGAAAGCAGCCAGUGGACCUUCCCCCUCAGGUGACCUCCCACCAGCAAUGCCCCUCUCUCACACAGGCUCAAAAAAACCUCUUUCAAAUGGAAUCUCCCUCCCUUUUACUUCCUUAGUGCCUCUCUAGCCUCCUGACUUCCUUUUACUCUCUAUGGUUUUUUUCUUAAUAAUCCUUUGCUCACUUUCUGUCACCUAGCUGCUUGCUCUGCCUCUUGACCAGUGGUUGACUUUAUUUGUUCUUAUUUACCAGAAAGUUCUUGGAUUAAAGGAGUGUGCUAAGGCUGAGCCAUACCACAAUUAAAAACAGGUAAAUACCACCAUCUCGGAGUUCAUAGUAUAAUCAAUAUUCUCCAAUGGGGAGGCCAGACUUUGCUGGGGAGAGUGCAAUGAGCUACUUAGAUAAAACCAUAUACUCUGAGGGGUGGAUUCAGGUUCAAAUGCUCAUCUGCUAUGUGACACUGGCAACCUUAUGUAGCCUCAGCUAUAAAGGGAGGGCACUCACUCCAUAGAAUGAUCCCACAGGGCCAUUAUAAAGACCAGGAGAGAUGAUGGCCACAGUUAAAGUUCCAAGCCCAGCACCUGUCAUGUUCAAGAGUUCACGAAAUGCAUCUUCUCCAUCUUGGAAUGUGGGGAGAGGCUGUGUAUUUCUGACCCUAGCCCCAACCAGCUGACUGCAUGUGAUAGAGCUUACCCUACAUAAUGGGGUGCCAGCUUCAUGCUCAAAGUUUUACAGAAUGGGUUAAAGAUGCAGUGUGGCCGUAGGACUCAGUCCUGGAGUAGUCAUGAGGAAGAAGGUUGGGAGAAAGGGUUUCUUUGGAAACAGGUCUCUUUACUUCCAUUAGUUGCAUUUAGCCUUCAGCCAAAGAGGUGUUUGAAAUAGCCACGGAGCCCAGAAGCACACAUCACACACAAAUUGGCUUUCUGGUUCCAGGUUUGGAAAGGAUCUGCCCAUUAGACUCAAAUUUGAAGAUUCUACUUACUAUGACUCAAUCCCACAGGAACUCCUUUCAUUAGGGUACACAUCACUUGACCAUAAUCCCACUCAAGGAAUGUACAAGUUUUGGAGAUACUGAAGAAAUUCAGGAACUGUUAUCCCUAAAUGUGUUACUUUGGACUUCAAACUAGGGUUCCUCCAGGAAGUGCUUUCUAUUACGUCUGACAAAGAUGAAGUGGGUCCGUGGGGCACUGCUCACCCACUCCUUCCUUCUAUUCCACUUAGUAGCAGCCACCUUAUCCCCACUGACUACUGUCUCUGAGCAGCAAGGGCUGGGGUGGGGCCCAGGGAGUCACAGGGACCUUCUGAAGGGAUGUUCCCAUUUGGUUUGGAAGGGUGGGUGAGACUAAAAAUACCACCUUUGUGACAUAUUUACUCUGCUCUUGUUAAUGCCCCAGAGAGAUUGCCAAGAGUCACUACCACUAAACCUGUGAUUAAACCAUAAUAACCACUUUCAUGUUUAUAAAUUUUGUCCUUGAUAUCAGAGAAGAGUAUUUUUAGGCUAGAACUUGGAGCUAACAAAUCCCAAAGCAGGCAUGUGGAUUUAAGCAAGCAUCUCUCCUUUCGGCUUCCUUCCUUGCACAAGGCAAUAAGGCAGGGGGAAUCAAACUAGGGGGUGUCACCUAUCAUGCCUCAGUCCCAAGGAGACCUUCCCAACCUUCCAUUUGGGUAUUUUGAUGCUGAUCCUACCUUGAUACCUGUGGGAGUUCCACAGAUAGUGAUGAAGUUCAUGAGUAUCUCCCUAAAAUGUGUCAUUCAGACUUCAAGCCGAGGGUGCUUUGGGGCAGUGUUUGCAGAGAGGGGCCUUCUAGAACUUCUUCCAUAGGCCUAAGGAAACUCAGUUGCCAUGAAUCCUCUCUGCAGGAAGGUCAUCAUCCAGGGAGCACAAAUUCAUCCCAGGAGAUAAGUCUGGAGUUUGUUACCUUGCCUGAUACUCUCACCUGAUCUUCUGAGAAUUUUCUCAUUUUUUUCCCCAAAUAAUUUACUUUAUCUUAAGCUGUUCUGUCCAUCAAGAGGAUAUAGAAGCUUCUAGGUUCCACUAGGUUUGGGGAGUGCUGUCUUUCCUGUGAUGUCUCUGUGCAUGUAAUUACACACACACACACACACACACACACACACACACA